rnacentral:rRNA from 1 species
GAGACUCUGUGCGCGUGCAUAUCAAUAAGCGGAGGAAAAGAAACUAACAAGGAUUCCCUUAGUAACGGCGAGCGAAGCGGGAAGAGCUCAAAUUUGAAAUCUUCAAGGUUCUACCUUGACGAAUUGUAGUUUAUAGAAGUGUUUUCUGUUAGUAGAGUGGCAAAAGUUCUUUGGAAUAGGACAUCAUAGAGGGUGAGAGUCCCGUAUUUGGUCAUUCUUUCUAGCUUUGUGAUACACUUUCAACGAGUCGGAUUGUUUGGGAAUGCAGUCCAAAAUGGGUGGUAAAUUUCAUCUAAAGCUAAAUAUUGGCGAGAGACCGAUAGCGAACAAGUACCGUGAGGGAAAGACGAAAAGAACUUUGAAAAGAGAGUUAAACAGUACGUGAAAUUGUCAAAAGGGAAGCGUUUGACACCAGUGUUGUUUAGUUGAAAAUCAAUUCAAUAGUUUUUGAUUCUAAGUAGUAUUGACUUCAUCAGCUUGCUGCUUUCUUCUCAGAAAUUAUUGAAUGCACUUUUCAGUUAACAGGUCAACAUCAAUUUCUUUUGUUGUAAAAGGAUAAGAGGAAGGUGGCUUGCGCUUCGGCUCAAGUGUUUAUAGCCUUUUAUCUCUGCAAUCGGAGAGAUUGAGGUCUGCAGCGUAGAUCCUUCGGGGUUAGAUACAUUGGUGCUAAGCUAUAGCCUUGUAUAGACAACUUGUUGACUAUGCUCAGUCAUGUAGCUUACUCGCUGAUGCUAUUUUACCUACGCUUAGGAUGUUGACGAUCAGCUGAGCGCG